rnacentral:misc_RNA from 1 species
GAAAUGCGAUAAGUAAUGUGAAUUUCAGAAUUCCGUGAAUCAUCGAAUCUUUGAACGCACAUUGCGCCCUCUGGCAUUCCGGGGGGCAUGCCUGUCCGAGCGUCAUUACGCACCCUCAAGUCCGGCUUGUGUGAUGGGCCCCGGCGUCUCGUUCGCGAGACGGGCCCGAAAGGCAGCGGCGGCGUCGACCCGAUGAGCCCGAGCGUAUGGGGACUUCUGUCACACGUUCGCGGUGCGGACCGGCGCCUGCUUGACUUUUCUGAUUAUCCAGGUUGACCUCGGAUCAGGUAGGGAUACCCGCUGAACUUAAGC